UAGGGAAUCUUCGGCAAUGGACGAAAGUCUGCCCGAGCAACGCCGCGUGAGUGAAGAAGGUUUUCGGAUCGUAAAACUCUGUUGUUAGAGAAGAACAAGGACGUUAGUAACUGAACGUCCCCUGACGGUAUCUAACCAGAAAGCCACGGCUAACUACGUGCCAGCAGCCGCGGUAAUACGUAGGUGGCAAGCGUUGUCCGGAUUUAUUGGGCGUAAAGCGAGCGCAGGCGGUUUCUUAAGUCUGAUGGGAAAGCCCCCGGCUCAACCGGGGAGGGUCAUUGGAAACUGGGAGACUUGAGUGCAGAAGAGGAGAGUGGAAUUCCAUGUGUAGCGGUGAAAUGCGUAGAUAUAUGGAGGAACACCAGUGGCGAAGGCGGCUCUCUGGUCUGUAACUGACGCUGAGGCUCGAAAGCGUGGGGAGCAAACAGG
rnacentral:rRNA from 1 species